GCGCUUAUAGUGUAGCGGUUAUCAUCCCAGCCUUCCAAGCUGGGGACGGGGGUUCGACUCCCCCUGGGCGCA
rnacentral:tRNA from 2 species